rnacentral:rRNA from 1 species
GUAUGACUCUCAACAACAGAUAUCUCAUCCCUCACCAGGAUGUAGAACGUAGCAAAAUAUGAUACUUAGUAUGAAUUGUAGAAUCUUAUGAGUCAUCUAGUCUUUGAAUGCAAGUUGUGCCAGAGGCUUCGAAUGAGGGCACGUCUGCAUGGGUGUUGCAC